UAGGGAAUCUUCGGCAAUGGACUAAAGUCUGACCGAGCAACGCCGCGCGAGUGAAGAAGGUUUUCGGUUCGUAAAACUCUGUUGUUAGAGAAGAACAAGGACGUUAGUAACUGAACGUCCCCUGACGGUAUCUAACCAGAAAGCCACGGCUAACUACGUGCCAGCAGCCGCGGUAAUACGUAGGUUGCAAGCGUUUUCCGGAUUUAUUGGGCGUAAAGCGAGCGUAGGCGGUUUCUUAAGUCUGAUGUGAAAGCCCCCGGCUCAACCGGGGAGGGUCAUUGGAAACUGGGAGACUUGAGUGCAGAAAAGGGGAGUGGAAUUCCAUGUGUAGCAGUGAAUUGCGUAGAUGUAUGGAGGAAGUCCAGUGGCGAAGGCGGCUCUCUGGACUGUAACUGACGCUGAGGCUCGAAAGCGUGGGGAGCAAACAGG
rnacentral:rRNA from 1 species